rnacentral:rRNA from 1 species
GAUGAACGCUGGCGGCGUGCCUAAUACAUGCAAGUCGAGCGAACGGACGAGAAGCUUGCUUCUCUGAUGUUAGCGGCGGACGGGUGAGUAACACGUGGAUAACCUACCUAUAAGACUGGGAUAACUUCGGGAAACCGGAGCUAAUACCGGAUAAUAUUUUGAACCGCAUGGUUCAAAAGUGGAAGACGGUCUUGCUGUCACUUAUAGAUGGAUCCGCGCUGCAUUAGCUAGUUGGUAAGGUAACGGCUUACCAAGGCAACGAUGCAUAGCCGACCUGAGAGGGUGAUCGGCCACACUGGAACUGAGACACGGUCCAGACUCCUACGGGAGGCAGCAGUAGGGAAUCUUCCGCAAUGGGCGAAAGCCUGACGGAGCAACGCCGCGUGAGUGAUGAAGGUCUUCGGAUCGUAAAACUCUGUUAUUAGGGAAGAACAUAUGUGUAAGUAACUGUGCACAUCUCGACGGUACCUAAUCAGAAAGCCACGGCUAACUACGUGCCAGCAGCCGCGGUAAUACGUAGGUGGCAAGCGUUAUCCGGAAUUAUUGGGCGUAAAGCGCGCGUAGGCGGUUUUUUAAGUCUGAUGUGAAAGCCCACGGCUCAACCGUGGAGGGUCAUUGGAAACUGGAAAACUUGAGUGCAGAAGAGGAAAGUGGAAUUCCAUGUGUAGCGGUGAAAUGCGCAGAGAUAUGGAGGAACACCAGUGGCGAAGGCGACUUUCUGGUCUGUAACUGACGCUGAUGAGCGAAAGCGUGGGGAUCAAACAGGAUUAGAUACCCUGGUAGUCCACGCCGUAAACGAUGAGUGCUAAGUGUUAGGGGGUUUCCGCCCCUUAGUGCUGCAGCUAACGCAUUAAGCACUCCGCCUGGGGAGUACGACCGCAAGGUUGAAACUCAAAGGAAUUGACGGGGACCCGCACAAGCGGUGGAGCAUGUGGUUUAAUUCGAAGCAACGCGAAGAACCUUACCAAAUCUUGACAUCCUUUGACAACUCUAGAGAUAGAGCCUUCCCCUUCGGGGGACAAAGUGACAGGUGGUGCAUGGUUGUCGUCAGCUCGUGUCGUGAGAUGUUGGGUUAAGUCCCGCAACGAGCGCAACCCUUAAGCUUAGUUGCCAUCAUUAAGUUGGGCACUCUAAGUUGACUGCCGGUGACAAACCGGAGGAAGGUGGGGAUGACGUCAAAUCAUCAUGCCCCUUAUGAUUUGGGCUACACACGUGCUACAAUGGACAAUACAAAGGGCAGCGAAACCGCGAGGUCAAGCAAAUCCCAUAAAGUUGUUCUCAGUUCGGAUUGUAGUCUGCAACUCGACUACAUGAAGCUGGAAUCGCUAGUAAUCGUAGAUCAGCAUGCUACGGUGAAUACGUUCCCGGGUCU